rnacentral:rRNA from 1 species
GACGAACGCUGGCGGCGUGCUUAACACAUGCAAGUCGAACGGCAAGGCCCUGCUUUUGUGGGGUGCUCGAGUGGCGAACGGGUGAGUAACACGUGAGUAACCUGCCCUUGACUUUGGGAUAACUUCAGGAAACUGGGGCUAAUACCGGAUAGGAGCUCCUGUUGCAUGGUGGGGGUUGGAAAGUUUCGGCAGUUGGGGAUGGACUCGCGGCUUAUCAGCUUGUUGGUGGGGUAGUGGCUUACCAAGGCUUUGACGGGUAGCCGGCCUGAGAGGGUGACCGGCCACAUUGGGACUGAGAGACGGCCCAGACUGCUACGGGAGGCAGCAGUGGGGAAGAUUGCACAAUGGGCGGAGGGCUGAUGCAGCUACGCCGCGUGCGGGAUGGCGGCCUUCGGGUUGUAGAACGCUUUCGCCUGUGACGAAGCGUGAGUGACGGUAAUGGGUAAAGAAGCAACGGCUAACUACGUG